CAGUGCCUGUAGGGUGCUGGGUAACCCCCAGUACCUUGCGACCUGGCCACCCGUGUCUACCUUACCUUUUGUUGCUUUGGCGGGCCCGUCCCCCGGACCGUCGGGGGUGUAUACCCACGAGCGUGGGUACGCAUCCCUGGCCCGCGCCCGCCAAAGGACCCUUAAAACUCUUGUGAAUUUAGGGUUGUCUGAGUUGAUGUGAAUGUAAA
rnacentral:misc_RNA from 1 species